GACGAACGCUGGCGGCGUGCUUAACACAUGCAAGUCGAACGGAAAGGCCCUGCUUUUGUUGGUUUCUCGAGUGGCGAACAGGUGAGUAACACGUGAGUAACCUGCCCUUGACUUUCUGAUAACUUCACGAAACUCGGGCUAAUACCGGAUAGGAGCUCCUGCUGCAUGGUGGUGAUUGGAAAGUUUCGGCGUUUGGGGAUGGGCUCGCGGCUUAUCAGCUUGUUGGGUGGGUAGUGGCUUACCAAGGCUUUGACGGGUAGCCGGCCUGAGAGGGUGACCGGGCACAGUGCGCCUGAGAGACGGCGCAGACUGGUACGGGAGGCAGUAGGGGGGAAUAUUGCACAAUGGGCGGAAGCGUGAUGCAGAAACGCUGCGUGCGGGAUGACGGCUUUCGGGUUGUAAACCGAUUUCGCCUGUGACGAAGAGUGAGUGACGGUAAUGGGUAAAGAAGCACCGGCUAACUACGUG
rnacentral:rRNA from 1 species